CAGCCGCCGCGGUAAUACGAAGGGUGCAAGCGUUACUCGGAAUUACUGGGCGUAAAGCGUGCGUAGGUGGCGGUUUAAGUCCGUUGUGAGAGCCCUGGGCUCAACCUGGGAAUUGCAGUGGAUACUGGGUCACUAGAGUGUGGUAGAGGAUAGUGGAAUUUCCGGUGUAGCAGUGAAAUGCGUAGAGAUCGGAAGGAACAUCUGUGGCGAAGGCGACUAUCUGGGCCAACACUGACACUGAGGCACGAAAGCGUGGGGAGCAAACAGGAUUAGAUACCCCUGUAGUCCCUGUCUCUUAUAC
rnacentral:rRNA from 1 species